rnacentral:rRNA from 1 species
CAAGGGUCGCCAGAGGACGGGUCCGCGUCCCAUCAGCUAGUUGGUGAGGUAAUGGCUCACCAAGGCGAAGACGGGUAGCUGGUCUGAGAGGAUGAUCAGCCACACGUGGAACUGAGACACGGUCCAGACUCCGUACGGGGAGGCAGCAGUGGGGAAUAUUGCGCAAGUGGGCGAAAGCCUGACGCAGCCACGCCGCGUGAGCGAUGAAGGUCUUCGGAUCGUAAAGCUCUGGUGGGGGGAGAAGAAGAAAGUCGGUGAAGAGCCGACCCUGACGGUAUCCCCUUAGCAAGCACCGGCUAACUCCGUGCCAGCAGCCGCGGUAAUACGGAGGGUGCAAACGUUGCUCGGAAUCAUUGGGCGUAAAGCGCGCGUAGGCGGCUGAACAAGUUGGAUGUGAAAGCCCUGGGCUCAACCUAGGAUGUGCAUUCAAAACUGUUCGGCUUGAGUCUCGGAGGGGGUCAGAGAAUUCUCGGUGUAGAGGUGAAAUUCGUAGAUAUCGGGAGGAACACCAGUGGC